rnacentral:rRNA from 1 species
GCGAGAAGUCCAUUGAACCUUAUCAUUUAGAGGAAGGAGAAGUCGUAACAAGGUUUCCGUAGGUGAACCUGCGGAAGGAUCAUUGUCGAGACCGAAACAUAUCGAGCGAUUCGGAGAACUUGUGAUCUUGCGACGGCAUUUUGCCGUCGCAUAACAGCCGACCUGCUCGGCGGCCUCGUCUCCAUGGAGGGAGGCCCCGAUGAGGGAGGCUGAAACUCAAACCGGCGCAGCUACGCGCCAAGGGAAUAUGAAGAGACACGAGCCCCGCAUAGGGUUCGGUGGCGUGGAGCGUUGUUGCGCACCGCGAUGUAUAGUCAAAACGACUCUCGGCAAUGGAUAUCUCGGCUCUCGCAUCGAUGAAGAGCGCAGCGAAAUGCGAUACGUGGUGCGAAUUGCAGAAUCCCGCGAACCAUCGAGAAUUUGAACGCAAGUUGCGCCCGAGGCCAUCCGGCCAAGGGCACGUCCGCCUGGGCGUCAAGCGUUGCGUCGCUCCGUGCCAGCUCCGUCAAGGGGAUGCUCGGAUGUGCAGAGUGGCUCGCCGUGCCUCGGGCGCGGCGGGCUGAAGAGCGGGUGAUCGUCUCAUCGGCCACGAACAGCAAGGGGUGGAUGAAAGUUGUGCCUGUGUUGUAUCGUGUCGGCCGGAGGAGAGAUUAUGCCCCGUUGAUGAUCCCGGCCCAAGCGCCGGCCGGACGGCGGCGGCUUGGAAUGCGACCCCAGGAUGGGCGAGGCCACCCGCUGAGUUUAAGCAUAUCAAUAAGC